rnacentral:rRNA from 1 species
AUUGAACGCUGGCGGCAGGCCUAACACAUGCAAGUCGAGCGGCAGCGGAAAGUAGCUUGCUACUUUGCCGGCGAGCGGCGGACGGGUGAGUAAUGUCUGGGAAACUGCCUGAUGGAGGGGGAUAACUACUGGAAACGGUAGCUAAUACCGCAUAACGUCGCAAGACCAAAGAGGGGGACCUUCGGGCCUCUUGCCAUCAGAUGUGCCCAGAUGGGAUUAGCUAGUAGGUGGGGUAACGGCUCACCUAGGCGACGAUCCCUAGCUGGUCUGAGACGAUGACCGGCCACACGGGAACUGAGACACGGUCCAGACUCCGACGGGAGGCAGCAGUGGGGAAUAUUGCACAAUGGGCGCAAGCCUGAUGCAGCCAUGCCGCGUGUAUGAAGAAGGCCUUCGGGUUGUAAAGUACUUUCAGCGGGGAGGAAGGUGUUAAGGUUAAUAACCUCAGCAAUUGACGUUACCCGCAGAAGAAGCACCGGCUAACUCCGUGCCAGCAGCCGCCGUAACAC